rnacentral:rRNA from 1 species
AACGCGAAGAACCUUACCUGGGCUCGAAGCGCAGUGGACCGGGGUGGAAACAUCCCUUUUCGCAAGAACUGCUGCGGAGGUGCUGCAUGGCUGUCGUCAGCUCGUGUCGUGAGAUGUUGGGUUAAGUCCCGCAACGAGCGCAACCCUUAUUGCCAGUUGCCACCGGGUUAUGCCGAGCACUCUGGCGAAACCGCCCUAGAUAAUGGGGAGGAAGGUGGGGAUGACGUCAAGUCCUCAUGGCCUUUAUGUCCAGGGCUACACACGUGCUACAAUGGCCGGUACAAACCGUCGCAAACCCGUGAGGGGGAGCUAAUCGGAAAAAGCCGGCCUCAGUUCGGAUUGGAGUCUGCAACCCGACUCCAUGAAGCUGGAAUCGCUAGUAAUCGCGGAUCAGAACGCCGCGGUGAAUACGUUCCCGGGCCUUGUACACACCGCUGUA